rnacentral:rRNA from 1 species
AGUGAACGCUGGCGGCGUGCUUAACACAUGCAAGUCGAACGAGAACGGUCCUUCGGGAUGUCAGCUAAGUGGCGGACGGGUGAGUAAUGUAUAGUUAAUCUGCCCUUUAGAGGGGGAUAACAGUUGGAAACGACUGCUAAUACCCCAUACUCCUUCUAUAUUAAUUAUAGUUGGGAAAUGUUUUUUCGCUAAAGGAUGAGACUAUAUGGUAUCAGGUAGUUGGUGGGGUAAGAGCCUACCAAGCCAAUGACGCCUAGCUGGUCUGAGAGGAUGAUCAGCCACACUGGAACUGAGACACGGUCCAGACUCCUACGGGAGGCAGCAGUGGGGAAUAUUGCACAAUGGAGGAAACUCUGAUGCAGCAACGCCGCGUGGAGGAUGACGCAUUUCGGUGUGUAAACUCCUUUUAUAUAGGAAGAUAAUGACGGUACUAUAUGAAUAAGCACCGGCUAACUCCGUG